CUUGCCAAACAAAUCAGGUCUGGUCGGAUCUAAACAAACAGAUUAAAGCCUCAUUUCUUCUCUAAAACGGUGUAUUUCUUUGUAUAAAAAUAAAAAAUUAAAGCGCUUUUGCACUUUCUAUUUCUGCUUCUCUUUUCAAAUCUCUCUUAACUUUUUCGCAGCAAGCCUGAUCGGAAAUUCCAAAUGCCAAAAACCGAUCUACUACUGCCGCUGCCUAUGCUAGUUGGUGCUGUCUACCAACGCCAGAAACCCCCAAAAAGACAUUUCUCAAAUCCACGCGACCUUCUCUUCUACCAAUUAAGCAUCACAAUAAGAUUAGAAUUUUCAAAACUAUACCCAAGAAAGCUUAGAUCUAAAUCACGACCACCGCCGCCUCUUUCUAAACUUCCAAACCAUCUUCAAACUCUCAAGAACAAUACCAAAUCAGCAGAACUCGAAAAUCCAGAAACUGGUCACGGCCCACUACCUUUGUCGCUGUAUGCUAGCUUUCCGAGACCACCAAGGAGUUCUUCUGGGUCCCUUCUUCAGCCUUCUCUGUAACCUCAAAAGUUUCGAGAAACUUAAAACCAAAGAUUAGAACCUCUCACCACUGAUUUGAUUUGAUUUUGUUUUUUUACUGCUGGAAUUUGUGAAUGAACCACUGUCUUGUGUGUGUCUCGAUUCUAAGUUUCUGAUUGUUUGCUUUUUUUAGAUGAUUGCCUGUGUUUCCUUGCUUUUGGGUUUGGGUUUGUGCUGUUGCUGGCUUUUGGGUUUUUUGUUUGGAGGCUGUUUGCUAAAUAGGUUAUUGUUUUUGGGUUUCUCAGAGGCUAAUUCUCAGCUUUAUUUUUGCCGAGUCUGUGUUGGUUUGUUUCCAUUCUUCCCGCUAGUGAUUCUAUUGUUUAGAUUGCUGGGUGUUCUCGAUUUGCAAGACAGAUUGGGCUUGGGAGAUUGCUGAUCAUUCCUGGAAAUUGCUUGGCUCUAUUGCUUAUUCUUGCUCUCUCAAAUCUUUUAUGUUCGAAUUGCUUCUCGUUGUUGUCAAUAGCCGAGAUUGAGUUAUUGAAUUGGGGUUCCUGCCAUCUUUCAAUCCUGUUAAGCUAAUUAUUGAGUGCUUGUCAGCUUGUGUUCUUGGUUCCUUCCAUUGCUUGCUGGUUUUAGGUUUGCAAGCUUGUUUUUUAAAAUUGACGUUGAUUGUGUUUUUCAAAUUGCUUUGUUUGCUAUGAUACUUUGUGGCCAAUUGCUGAUGAUUGCUUGAUGGGUUUAGGUUUUUGAAUUGCUUGUGGGACUAUGUGAGGCUGCGUACUGCUAGCUGGAAAAUUAGGCUUGAAUGCCAAAUUUUGUUUUUGCUCGGGAUUGCUUGGUGUUUUGACUUUCUUAUAUUGAUUCAAAACUUCAACCAAAAUCGCCUUUUUGCUCUCUUUGCUGGAUUUCUUCUGGUUCUUGUAUUGCUAAUUGCUUCACUGUUAUGUUAGACUUUGACAAUGUAAAACAUGAUAUGAUAAUACAACAUCAUCUUGAUAUAAAAAGUGGAUAAAGGACACAGACUUAAAAUUUUAGUAGUUAUUAUUUAUG
rnacentral:lncRNA from 1 species